GAUGAACGCUGGCGGCGUGCCUAAUACAUGCAAGUCGAGCGAACGGACGAGAAGCUUGCUUCUCUGAUGUUAGCGGCGGACGGGUGAGUAACACGUGGAUAACCUACCUAUAAGACUGGGAUAACUUCGGGAAACCGGAGCUAAUACCGGAUGAUAUUUUGAACCGCAUGGUUCAAAAGUGAAAGACGGUCUUGCUGUCACUUAUAGAUGGAUCCGCGCUGCAUUAGCUAGUUGGUAAGGUAACGGCUUACCAAGGCAACGAUGCAUAGCCGACCUGAGAGGGUGAUCGGCCACACUGGAACUGAGACACGGUCCAGACUCCUACGGGAGGCAGCAGUAGGGAAUCUUCCGCAAUGGGCGAAAGCCUGACGGAGCAACGCCGCGUGAGUGAUGAAGGUCUUCGGAUCGUAAAACUCUGUUAGUAGGGAAGAACAUAUGUGUAAGUAACUGUGCACAUCUUGACGGUACCUAAUCAGAAAGCCACGGCUAACUACG
rnacentral:rRNA from 1 species